rnacentral:lncRNA from 1 species
AAAGUGGUCGCCCAAAUAGCAGGCGCAUUAGAACUGAAAUGGACAUCGCAGAAAAAAUGCAGAGGAAGUGUAGCAUAUGUAGACAACUAGGGCAUAAUAAGAACAAAUGUCCAUAUCGUGGAUCUAGUUCCACAACUUAGUUUUCAUAUUCAUAAAUUUGUGUACCAAUGCUAUUUAUCAUUAAAGUUUACUUUUUAUUCCAAAUAGAAGAUGACACUUGAACAAC